rnacentral:rRNA from 1 species
UACGGAGGGUGCAAGCGUUAUCCGGAUUUAUUGGGUUUAAAGGGUGCGUAGGCGGCUUAUUAAGUCAGGGGUGAAAGACUAUUGCUUAACAAUGGCAGUGCCUUUGAUACUGAUAGGCUUGAGUACAGCUGAGGCAGAUGGAACGGGUGGUGUAGCGGUGAAAUGCAUAGAUACCAUCCAGAACACCGAUUGCGAAGGCAGUCUGCUAAACUGUAACUGACGCUGAGGCACGAAAGCGUGGAGAUCGAACAGG